UACAGAGGUCCCAAGCGUUGUUCGGAUUCACUGGGCGUAAAGGGUGCGUAGGUGGUCGGGUAAGUCUGAUGUGAAAUCUCCGAGCUUAACUCGGAAAUGGCAUUGGAUACUAUUCGGCUAGAGGGAUUGAGGGGGGACUGGAAUACUUGGUGUAGCAGUGAAAUGCGUAGAUAUCAAGUGGAACACCAGUGGCGAAGGCGAGUCCCUGGAAAACUCCUGACACUGAGGCACGAAAGCUAGGGGAGCAAACAGG
rnacentral:rRNA from 1 species